rnacentral:pre_miRNA from 1 species
AUAACAUAAAUCGGACUGUCAGCCCACCGAGCAAUUACACCCACUCGAUAGAAGAUCUUCCCUUCGUCGU